UUUAUUCUAGCUCCGUCCAUAUAUAUAUAUAUAUAUAUAUAUAUAUAUAUGGACGGAGCUAGAAUAAA
rnacentral:miRNA from 1 species